GACGAACGCUGGCGGCGUGCUUAACACAUGCAAGUCGAACGGUGAAGCGCUUUCCUUUUUGGUUGGUGUGGAUGAGUGGCGAACGGGUGAGUAACACGUGAGUAACCUGCCCCCUUCUUCUGGAUAACCGCAUGAAAGUGUGGCUAAUACGGGAUAUUCUGCGCCUGCUGCAUGGUGGGUGUGGGAAAGAUUGUGCCUUUGGGUGUUUUCGGUGGGGGAUGGGCUCGCGGCCUAUCAGCUUGUUGGUGGGGUGAUGGCCUACCAAGGCGGUGACGGGUAGCCGGCCUGAGAGGGUGGACGGUCACACUGGGACUGAGACACGGCCCAGACUCCUACGGGAGGCAGCAGUGGGGAAUAUUGCACAAUGGGCACAAGCCUGAUGCAGCGACGCCGCGUGAGGGAUGGAGGCCUUCGGGUUGUGAACCUCUUUCGCCAGUGAAGCAGGCCUGCUCCUUGUGGGUGGGUUGACGGUAGCUGGAUAAGAAGCGCCGGCUAACUACGUG
rnacentral:rRNA from 1 species